GCAUUUCAUUAUUCUAUUUUCGUACAAACACGUGCUGCCUACGACAGCAGAAUACGCGCUAUCCUUCCAUUGUACCGCGCCAUUUCAUCGAACUGGAUGAGACCUUGGGCUCACGUUAUGAAUUCAAGCCUAAUUGGAGCAGGAUGUCAAGUCAACGGGAUUGAGGGAAUCUCUGUUCACCAAAUCGGCUUACUACAUGCUUAUUUACCCACGAGAUUCGUUCGUAGUGGUAAAGGAGAAUAACUUCGAAUAACUGUGCCGCGCCCAAAGCGU